AUUUAUAUAGUAUAAUAAUUAUAUUUGACUUCCAAUCAAAAGAUUUAAUUUAAUUAAUAUAAAUA
rnacentral:tRNA from 1 species